rnacentral:misc_RNA from 1 species
AAAAAAAAGAUGGGAAUCAGAAGGAAUGACAUUUUAACAUACAUUUCACGUAAAAUUUAUAAAUACAAAAUGACUGCAACUGUAAUUAAUUUGCCCCAGGAAAACUUAUUUGAAAGAAGCAUUUUGUUUUCGCCUUCUACAUGCAGGGGCUAUAAUUAUUAUGCCACAACAGCAAAAACAGAAGGCAUGGCAAAUCCACCAAUUUGACGUGCCAGACAGUGGUCUACUAAAUAUGCAGUACCAGAUUUUUGGUUCUAUGCAGCACGAGUAACAGCUGCAUGUAUUGCAUCUGCUAAAUGAGGGACGGUCUUCGAGCUCAAACCUGCCAUGCUAAUCCUCCCAUCAGAUGUCAUGUAGAUGUGAUACUCUUUAGUCAUAAAGGCAACUUGCUCAGAGUUCAGUCCAGUGAAAGUGAACAUUCCAAUUUGCUUAAUAAUGUGACUCCAGUCACCAGGUGUUCCUCUAGCACGUAACGCAUCAAAGAGUUGCCGGCGCAUGCUGAUAAUACGAUCAGCCAUUGCCUUCAGCUCAAUGGUCCACUCAUUGUACAAAUUCCUAUCUUUUAGGAUAACAGCUACUAUAGAUGCACCAUGAAUGGGUGGGUUUGAAUACAUGGGUCUGAUCACAAGUUUCAGCUGGCUCUCAACCCUGCCUGCAACAUCAGCAUUCC